rnacentral:rRNA from 1 species
ACGAACGCUGGCGGCGUGCUUAACACAUGCAAGUCGCACGGAAAGGCCCAGCUUGCUGGGUACUCGAGUGGCGAACGGGUGAGUAACACGUGGGUGAUCUGCCCCUGACUUUUGGAUAAGCCUGGGAAACUGGGUCUAAUACCGGAUAUGACCUUACAUCGCAUGGUGUUUGGUGGGAAGCUUUUGCGGUUGGGGAUGGGCCCGCGGCCUAUCAGCUUGUUGGUGGGGUAAUGGCCUACCAAGGCGACGACGGGUAGCCGACCUGAGAGGGUGAUCGGCCACACUGGGACUGAGACACGGCCCAGACUCCUACGGGAGGCAGCAGUGGGGAAUAUUGCACAAUGGGCGCAAGCCUGAUGCAGCGACGCCGCGUGAGGGAUGACGGCCUUCGGGUUGUAAACCUCUUUCACCAGGGACGAAGCGUGAGUGACGGUACCUGGAGAAGAAGCACCGGCCAACUACGUG